rnacentral:rRNA from 1 species
CCUACGGGAGGCAGCAGUGGGGAAUAUUGGGCAAUGGGCGCAAGCCUGACCCAGCAACGCCGCGUGAGGGAAGAAGGCCCUCGGGUUGUAAACUUCUUUUAUCAGGGACGAAACAAAUGACGCUAGUUGAUGAAUAAUCCACGUCUAACUACGUGCCAGCAGCCGCGGUAAUACGUAGGUGGCAAGCGUUAUCCGGCUUUACUGGGUGUAAAGGGAGUGUAGGCGGGACUGCAAGUCAGAUGUGAAAACCAUGGGAGCAACCCCUGGACUGCAUUUGAAACUGUAGUGCUGGAGUGUUGGAGAGGCAGGCGGAAUUCCGGGUGUAGCGGUGAAAUGCGUAGAUAUAAGGAAGAACACCAGUGGCGAAGGCGGCCUGCUGGACAAUAACUGACGUUGAGGCGCGAAAGCGUGGGGAGCAAACAGGAUUAGAUACCCUUGUAGUC